rnacentral:ncRNA from 1 species
UACAGUUUUGGUCCUAGACUUGUUGCUAUUUAUAAUCAAAAUUACACAUGCAAGUAUCAGCACCCCAGUGAGAAUGCCCACCUAUUAAAGGAGCAGGUAUCAGGCACGGCCUCCCCCAGCCCAAGACACCUUGCUAUGCCACCCCCACAAGGGUAAUCAGCAGUGAUAAACAUUAAGCAAUGAGCUACACCACAAUAAAGCUCGACUUAGUUAUGAUUUAUGGGGCCGGUCAACCUCGUGCCAGCCACCGCGGUUAUACGAAGGGCCCAAAAUAGACAAACAACGGCGUAAAUGGUGGCUAGAACCCGUCAACUAUCAAAAUGAUAAACCAUGUCCUAACCGUAAAACACAGGACAAAUGAACACCUUAAUUUUGUUUAAAGACAAUUUGACCCCACGAAAACUAAGAACCAAACUAGGAUUAGAUACCCUACUAUGCUUAGUUGUAAAUAAGAUAUGAAAACUAUUUACAUGUCCGCCAGAAAAUUACAAGCGAAAAGCUUAAAACCCAAAGGACUUGGCGGUGCUCCACACCCACUUAGAGGAGCCUGUCCUAUAAUUGAUACUCCACAAUAGACCUCACCCCCUAUUGCCCACCACAGCCUAUAUACCGCCGUCGUAAAUCUGCCCUGUGAGGGCAAAACAGCAGGUACAAUAGCUACUAGCUAAAACGUCAGGUCAAGGCGUAGCUUAUAAGGGGGAAAAGAUGGGCUACAUUCUUUAACAUAAACUAAACGGCAAAGAACUGUGAAAGUACUUCUUAAAGGUGGAUUUAACAGUAAGGUUAACAAGAAAAUUAACCUUAAACUAGCCCUGGAGCGCGCACACACCGCCCGUCACCCUCAUCAACACACCACCAUACUAUAUAUAAUUUAAACACCAAAAAAAGACGAGG